AAACCAGCACCUCAAGUGGUCAGGAUGAUUAUUGGGCCUAAAGCAUCCGUAGCCGGCUCAGUAAGUUUUCGGUUAAAUCUGUACGCUCAACGUACAGGCUGCCGGGAAUACUGCAGAGCUAGGGAGUGGGAGAGGUAGACGGUACUCGGGAGGAAGUGGUAAAAUGCUUUGAUCUUUCGAUGACCACCUGUGGCGAAGGCGGUCUACCAGAACACGUCCGACGGUGAGGGAUGAAAGCUGGGGGAGCAAACCGGAUUAGAAACCCGUGUAGUCC
rnacentral:rRNA from 1 species